rnacentral:rRNA from 1 species
AAUCAACGCUGGCGGCAUGCCUAACACAUGCAAGUCGAGCGAGAAAGUGUAGCAAUACAUGAGUACAGCGGCGCACGGGUGAGUAACACGUGGAUAACCUGCCUCAAAGUGGGGAAUAACACCGGGAAACCGGUGCUAAUACCGCAUACACCGAUGAGAUCUGUGGAUUUCGUCGGGAAAGGAGCAAUUCGCUAUGAGAGGGGUCCGCGGCUGAUAGCUAGUUGGUUGGGUAAUGGCUCACCAAGGCAACGAUCAGUAGCCGGUCUGAGAGGACGGUCGGCCACACUGGAACUGAGACACGGUCCAGACUCCUACGGGAGGCAGCAGUGGGGAAUUUUUCGCAAUGGGGGCAACCCUGACGAAGCAAUGCCGCGUGGAUGAUGAAGUAUUUCGGUACGUAAAAUCCUUUCGACAGGGACGAAACCGCAAGGUUGACGGUACCUGUAGAAG